rnacentral:rRNA from 1 species
AGUGAACGCUGGCGGUAGGCCUAACACAUGCAAGUCGAACGGCAGCACAGUAAGAGCUUGCUCUUACGGGUGGCGAGUGGCGGACGGGUGAGGAAUACAUCGGAAUCUACUUUUUCGUGGGGGAUAACGUAGGGAAACUUACGCUAAUACCGCAUACGACCUACGGGUGAAAGCAAGGGAUCUUCGGACCUUGCGCGAUUGAAUGAGCCGAUGUCGGAUUAGCUAGUUGGCGGGGUAAAGGCCCACCGAGGCGACGAUCCGUAGCUGGUCUGAGAGGAUGAUCAGCCACACUGGAACUGAGACACGGUCCAGACUCCUACGGGAGGCAGCAGUAGGGAAUAUUGGACAAUGGGCGCAAGCCUGAUCCAGCCAUACCGCGUGGGUGAAGAAGGCCUUCGGGUUGUAAAGCCCUUUUGUUGGGAAAGAAAAGCAGCAGGUUAAUACCCCGCUGUUCUGACGGUACCCAAAGAAUAAGCACCGGCUAACUUCGUG